ensembl:snRNA U6 U6 spliceosomal RNA
GUGCUUGCUUCGGCAGCAUAUAUGCUAAAACUGAAAUGAUACAGGGAAGAUUAGCAUGGCCUUAUGUAAGAAUGACACCCAAACUUGUGAAGCAUUCCAUAUUUUU